rnacentral:misc_RNA from 1 species
GAUGAAGAACGUAGCGAAAUGCGAUAAGUAAUGUGAAUUGCAGAAUUCAGUGAAUCAUCGAAUCUUUGAACGCACCUUGCGCUCCUUGGUAUUCCUUGGAGCAUGCCUGUUUGAGUAUCAUGAGCAAAUCUCAAAGUCGAUCCUUUUGUUAAUUCAAUUGGUUUGCUUUGGACUUGGAGGCCUUGCAGAUUUCACCGUCUGCUCCUCUUAAAUGCAUUAGCUGGAUCUCAGUAUUAUGCUUGGUUCCACUCGGCGUGAUAAGUAUCACUCGCUGAGGACACUGUAAAAGGUGGCCAGGAAAAUACUGAUCGAACCGCUUCUAACGGUCUAUUAACUUAGACAAUUACCCUUAAGUUUGAUCUCAAAUCAGGUAGGACUACCCGCUGAACUUAAGCAUAUCAAUAAGCGGAGGA